ACGCUCGACACCUACGGGAAGCAGCAGUGGGGAAUAUUGCACAAUGGAGGAAACUCUGAUGCAGCGAUGCCGCGUGAGGGAAGAAGGUUUUCGGAUUGUAAACCUCUGUCUUUGGGGACGAUAAUGACGGUACCCAAGGAGGAAGCUCCGGCUAACUACGUGCCAGUAGCCGCGGUAAUCUGAGCGGGCUGGCAAGGC
rnacentral:rRNA from 1 species